UGUACUGCGAAACUGCGAAUGGCUCAUUAAAUCAGUUAUCGUCUAUUUGAUAGUACCUUACUACUUGGAUAACCGUGGUAAUUCUAGAGCUAAUACAUGCUGCAAAGCCCGACUUCGGAAGGGCUGUAUUUAUUAGAUUAAAAAACCAAUGCCCUCCGGGGCUCACUGGUGAUUCAUGAUAACUUCUCGAAUCGCACGGCCUUGCGCCGGCGAUGGUUCAUUCAAAUUUCUGCCCUAUCAACUUUCGACGGCUGGGUAUUGGCCAGCCGUGGUGACAACGGGUAACGGAGGGUUAGGGCUCGACCCCGGAGAAGGAGCCUGAGAAACGGCUACUACAUCCAAGGAAGGCAGCAGGCGCGCAAAUUACCCAAUCCCGACACGGGGAGGUAGUGACAAUAAAUACUGAUACAGGGCUCUUUUGGGUCUUGUAAUUGGAAUGAGUACAAUUUAAUUCCCUUAACGAGGAACAAUUGGAGGGCAAGUCUGGUGCCAGCAGCCGCGGUAAUUCCAGCUCCAAUAGCGUAUAUUAAAGUUGUUGCAGUUAAAAAGCUCGUAGUUGAACCUUGGGCCUGGCUGGCCGGUCCGCCUCACCGCGUGCACUGGUCCGGCCGGGCCUUUCCCUCUGGGGAGCCGCAUGCCCUUCACUGGGCGUGCCGGGGAACCAGGACGUUUACUUUGAAAAAAUUAGAGUGUUCAAAGCAGGCUUAUGCUCGAAUACAUUAGCAUGGAAUAAUGGAAUAGGACGCGUGGUUCUAUUUUGUUGGUUUCUAGGACCGCCGUAAUGAUUAAUAGGGACAGUCGGGGGCAUCAGUAUUCAGCUGUCAGAGGUGAAAUUCUUGGAUUUGCUGAAGACUAACUACUGCGAAAGCAUUUGCCAAGGAUGUUUUCAUUAAUCAGGAACGAAAGUUAGGGGAUCGAAGACGAUCAGAUACCGUCGUAGUCUUAACCAUAAACUAUGCCGACUAGGGAUCGGACGGUGUUAUUCUUUGACCCGUUCGGCACCUUACACGCAAAGU
rnacentral:rRNA from 1 species